UACGUAGGUGGCGAGCGUUAUCCGGAAUUAUUGGGCGUAAAGAGCGCGCAGGUGGUUAAUUAAGCCUGAUGUGAAAGCCCACGGCUUAACCGUGGAGGGUCAUUGGAAACUGGUUGACUUGAGUGCAGAAGAGGGAAGUGGAAUUCCAUAUGUAGCGGUGAAAUGCGUAGAGAUAUGGAGGAACACCAGUGGCGAAGGCGGCUUCCUGGUCUGCAACUGACACUGAGGCGCGAAAGCGUGGGGAGCAAACAGG
rnacentral:rRNA from 1 species